AGUGAACGCUGGCGGUAGGCCUAACACAUGCGAGUCGAACGGCAGCACAGUAAGAGCUUGCUCUUACGGGUGGCGAGUGGCGGACGGGUGAGGAAUACAUCGGAAUCUACUUUUUCGUGGGGGAUAACGUAGGGAAACUUACGCUAAUACCGCAUACGACCUACGGGUGAAAGCAGGGGAUCUUCGGACCUUGCGCGAUUGAAUGAGCCGAUGUCGGAUUAGCUAGUUGGCGGGGUAAAGGCCCACCAAGGCGACGAUCCGUAGCUGGUCUGAGAGGAUGAUCAGCCACACUGGAACUAAGACACGGUCCAGACUCCUACGGGAGGCAGCAGUGGGGAAUAUUGGACAAUGGGCGCAAGCCUGAUCCAGCCAUACCGCGUGGGUGAAGAAGGCCUUCGGGUUGUAAAGCCCUUUUGUUGGGAAAGAAAAGCAGCAGGUUAAUACCCCGCUGUUCUGACGGUACCCAAAGAAUAAGCACCGGCUAACUUCGUG
rnacentral:rRNA from 1 species